CCCUUAGAUGUUCUGGGCCGCACGCGCGCUACAAUGAUGAAUUCAACGAGUUUAUAACCUUGGUUGAAAAGCCUGGGUAAUCUUUUGAACUUUCGUCGUGAUGGGGCUAGACCCUUGCAAUUAUUGGUCUCCAACGAGGAAUUCCUAGUAAACGCAAGUCAUCAGCUUGCAUUGAUUACGUCCCUGCCCUUUGUACACACCGCCCGUCGCACCUACCGAUUGAAUGGUCCGGUGAAAUCUUCGGAUUGAGACUUUGAUUUGUUUACUCAAAACGCUGUUUCAAGAAGUUGAUUAGACCUUACCAUUUAGAGGAAGGUGAAGUCGUAACA
rnacentral:rRNA from 1 species